rnacentral:tRNA from 1 species
UGCCCGGUAGUGUAAUGGUAACACAUCAGGUUUUGGAUCUGACAUUCGAGGUUCGAGCCCUCGCCGGGCAGCCA